rnacentral:tRNA from 1 species
AUGAUGAAUUUUUUUUUUCUUGGGUUGAAUCUAAUAGUUUAAAUAAAAACAAAAUAUACACUUGAAAAGUGU